GCGGAAGAAAGGGUCUGCCCUAAUAAGGUGGGCUAAUGACGGUACCGACAGAAGAAGCACCGGCUAACUACGUGCCAGCAGCCGCGGUAAUACGUAGGGUGCGAGCGUUAAUCGGAAUUACUGGGCGUAAAGCGUGCGCAGGCGGCUUUGUAAGACAGAUGUGAAAUCCCCGGGCUCAACCUGGGAACUGCGUUUGUGACUGCAAGGCUAGAGUACGGUAGAGGGGGGUGGAAUUCCACGUGUAGCAGUGAAAUGCGUAGAGAUGUGGAGGAACACCGAUGGCGAAGGCAGCCCCCUGGGCCUGUACUGACGCUCAUGCACGAAAGCGUGGGGAGCAAACAGGAUUAGAUACCCUGGUAGUCCACGCCCUAAACGAUGUCUACUAGUUGUUCGGAGCAGUAAUGCACUGGGUAACGCAGCUAACGCGUGAAGUAGACCGCCUGGGGAGUACGGUCGCAAGAUUAAAACUCAAAG
rnacentral:rRNA from 1 species